rnacentral:rRNA from 1 species
CGAGAGCCGGGCAAAAAAACGACAGCGAGGGGUAAAAUGCAGCCCUGUGGCGUCACUGUGACAAUUCAUGACACUGCACCAAGAGGAUAUGAAGGGCACAGGCGUUAAAAGUGCCACGCGACGGGAAGGGAAUGAGUCCCAGCAAUCCCCCGGUAGGGUGGCAAACGGGUGAGUAAUACAUGGGUGAUCUACCUUAGGGGAUGGGGAUAUCCUUCCGAAAGGAGGGGCAAUACCGAAUAUUGUCCGGAGCCGUGAAGGGUUCCGGGGAAAGGGAGGCCUCUGAUACAAGCUUUCGCCUUAAGAUGAGCCCAUGGCCCAUCAGCUAGUUGGUAGGGUAAAGGCCUACCAAGGCUACGACGGGUCGCUGGUCUGAGAGGACGACCAGCCACACUGGCACUGAGAUACGGGCCAGACUCCUACGGGAGGCAGCAGUGAGGAAUAU